UUACUUACCUGGUGGGAUACUAUAUUCACAAAGGUGGUUUUCCCAGGACAAGGCUUACCAUUGCAUUCCAGAUGUACUGACUCCUGCAAUUUACCCAAAUGUGGGAAACUUGAUGGCAUAAUUUGUGAUCGUGGGAGAUUGUGUUCAGGCUCUCCUC
rnacentral:snRNA from 1 species